GUGUAGUACAGUGUGUAUAGUACAGUGUGUAGUACAGUGUGUGUGUAGUACAGUGUGUAUAGUACAGUGUGUAUAGUACAGUGUGUAUUACAGUGUGUGUAUUACAGUGUGUGUAGUACAGUGUGUAUAGUACAGUGUGUAUUACAGUGUGUGUAGUACAGUGUGUAUAGUACAGUGUGUAUUACAGUGUUACAGUGUGUAUUACAGUGUGUGUAGUACAGUGUGUGUGUGUUACAGUGUGUGUGUGUAGUACAGCGUGUGUGUAUUACAGUGUGUGUAUUUCAGUUACAGUGUGUGUGUGUGUAGUACAGCGUGUGUGUAUUACAGUGUGUGUAUUACAGUGUGUGUAUUACAGUGUGUGUAUUACAGUGUGUGUAUUACAGUGUGUGUUGUACUGUGUGUGUGUAUUACAGUGUGUGUAGUACAGUGUGUGUGUGUAGUACAGUGUGUGUGUGUGUAUUACAGUGUGUGUAUUACAGUGUGUGUAGUACAGUGUGUGUGU
ensembl:lncRNA